rnacentral:piRNA from 1 species
UAGCUCUAAGGGGUUCCCUAAUACCGUC